GCCAAGGUGGCUUAAUGGCUAACGCACCUGCCUAGAAAGCAGGAGACCUGGGUUUGAUUCCCGGCCUUGGUA